rnacentral:rRNA from 1 species
UGCAAGUCGAACGGUAACAUAACUAGCUUGCUAGUUGAUGACGAGUGGCGGACGGGUGAGUAAUGCUUGGGAAUUCGCCUUUAGGUGGGGACAACAGUUGGAAACGACUGCUAAUACCGCAUAAUAGCUACGGCUCAAAGGGGGCUUCGGCUCUCGCCUUUAGAGAAGCCCAAGUGGGAUUAGGUAGUUGGUGAGGUAAAGGCUCACCAAGCCGACGAUCCCUAGCUGGUCUGAGAGGAUGAUCAGCCACACUGGAACUGAGACACGGUCCAGACUCCUACGGGAGGCAGCAGUGGGGAAUAUUGCACAAUGGGCGCAAGCCUGAUGCAGCCAUGCCGCGUGUGUGAAGAAGGCCUUCGGGUUGUAAAGCACUUUCAGCGAGGAGGAAGGUUAAGUAGUUAAUACCUGCUUGAUUUGACGUUACUCGCAGAAGAAGCACCGGCUAACUCCGUGCCAGCAGCCGCGGUAAUACGGAGGGUGCGAGCGUUAAUCGGAAUUACUGGGCGUAAAGCGUACGCAGGCGGCUAAGUAAGUCAGAUGUGAAAGCCCCGGGCUCAACCUGGGAAUUGCAUUUGAAACUGCUUAGCUAGAGUGCGACAGAG